rnacentral:rRNA from 1 species
CAGUCGCCACGGUAAUACGUAGGUCCCGAGCGUUGUCCGGAUUUAUUGGGCGUAAAGCGAGCGCAGGCGGUUAGAAAAGUCUGAAGUGAAAGGCAGUGGCUCAACCAUUGUAGGCUUUGGAAACUGUUUAACUUGAGUGCAGAAGGGGAGAGUGGAAUUCCAUGUGUAGCGGUGAAAUGCGUAGAUAUAUGGAGGAACACCGGUGGCGAAAGCGGCUCUCUGGUCUGUAACUGACGCUGAGGCUCGAAAGCGUGGGGAGCGAACAGGAUUAGAUACCCGUGUAGUCCCUGUCUCUUAUACU